GUCACAAGUUCUCUUUAGUUUCAGGAUGUUGUAUGCUAAACCUGUUACCUUUAUGUGUAGAGAGAAAUUUAGUAGAAUGCAGUACAAGUGCCUCUGAUGGGCACUUACCUGGUCUGCAAGCUGCUGGGAAACGUGCUUCCACCAUGUGAUGCUGUGUGUGUUCCUGGGUGUAACCUAAUGUUGAUCUGCAGUGCAUGCAGACAAAUGCAUCCUAUGAGCCACCCUUUGGCAACUGAAGAAAGUACUGAAGCAUCAAUUACUCACAGCUUAGUCACUCCUCGGGAAAAGAGGAAGAGAAAUGGACUCAAUUUAUGGGAAGCUUCUAUGUGCAACUACCACGAACAGGAAAUGAACAGAACAUCUGUCAGCAAAAAGGCAUCUUGGCUAACUUCUGGAUCACAAUGACUGUAACCCCAUACAGAACUGAUUUCCCCAAUACAUCUGAAAAGGGAAUUUGAGAAGGAAGAGGAGUAGGUACAUGAUUUUUGGGCCAGAUGUCACAGAACACUGUUGAUAAGAGACUUGGUAAAAAUUUUAGACAUCCUGUCAUCCUGAAGACAAUGAAAUAUCAAUGAGGAUCGAGCAGUAGAAGCUGUGGCUGGAGAGGAAAAAGAGUUGUUCAUUCAAAGCCCUAAGAUAUCUUUGCUAUUAAAAUUCAGCACACUUUCAGAAAACAGACUGAAGGAAGAAUCAAGUACAGUUUUAUGACCUCGUAAAUUUUACCAGUCUCUUUUAAGCUCUACAUUAUUAUUCACUUUUCAAAGACAGUCUAUGGCAUUACAGACUAUCAAAGGAGAUGUCUGGAAAAGUAAGCUUUGAGAACCAAUUACUAGAAAGUGUUACUACAAAAUGCUUUUAUCAGAUAACUUAUCAAGAUUCCAAAACAGGAAUUGAUUCAGAGAGGAUCAGAAUAUCUUUACCACAACAUUUACUGAUGAUGAAUCACCUGUCAGAAGUCCUUGGGGAACACCUCUGUACCUAAAAUUGGUACACACGUCUGAGUACUAAGAUGCCUGUGGCUCAACUUGGCAGAAAACUGCAUACUUAUAAUGCUGCAACUUCUGAAUAAGUUGGGUGUGGCUAGGCUGGGAGAAUCAGCUGCUAGAAUGGCUUCUAGAAGGAAGAAUUUACUUGUCAUUCAGAGAUCUCUCCAUUGGCUUCUGGGAAUCCUCUUUUGUUUUUCUGCUUUCCUACAUUUGUAAUUGCUAAAUGCUAGACUGUAAGAGGAGGCUGUUACACUAAGAACUGAAUUUGGAUUAUUCAUUGUGGAUUUAACAAUUUCUUUUGGAAGCCAUGCAUCUCCUGAAGCUAUAGACUGUGGUGGAUAAUAAUUAAAAAAUAUGAAUCCAAGACAAAUAUUUCUCUUUCCAUUUGCAGUCCUGAAUGGAAAACUGAAAAUACAAAUAGAAGAUACUGUUUUCCAUUUACAGACAGGACAGUAUAAUUUAUUCUUUUUUUGUUUGUUUGUUUUAAUGUUAGGCUCUUAUUUGGUGCAAUUAUUUAGAUUUUGUAUAUUAAUAUUCUCCAGAUAUUUCUAAGCCUUUCAGCAAAGGGUUUGAUUGCAG